rnacentral:lncRNA from 8 species
AGUCCUGUCCAGUAAGCUCCUGGCUCCACAUCUCCCCCUGGUGGUCAGGCCACACGGUACACCAACAGCGGACACUCGGCACUGCAGCAAAGUGUUGCCAUGGCUGUGUUUAAAAACAGGUUUUGUUGGAGUUACAGGAAGAAGUGAUUUUGGGUUUUGGGACUGCCUCUGUAAAUCCAGGAGAGAAACAAAGACAAAGCAGGAAAAUUGCUUGAGACACACACACACACACACACACUGCAAGCAAAGGAACCAACAUGCACACACGCACAUACCGUACACAGAUACACACACGCUUACUGAUAAGAUAGUGUAUAUGUCUUGUCAAGCAGUAUGCUGUUAAACUCCACAGAAUAAACUCCAUUGUCUGUUUCGUCAAACUGGUGAUUCUCAGCUCUCCAGUAGCCUGGUCCAGGGUUGUGCCGCUUUCAAAGCCACCAUAGGUGUACAGCCCAAAAUCCUUGUCCCACUCUGCCGCCUUGUUCAAGCCAUGCUUCCAUAGGAUGCAUGUGAUGGGGUCAGGUAUAAUGGACUUGUCCGGCAUCAACACAAGAAUCUCUCCCACUUUUCUGUAGCUGUUCAUUUGGAAAACCAGACAUCAUACAGGUGAAAGUGAACUAGUGACUUGUGUUCAGGUUAGAGGUUAACACUAAAUGGGUCAACAUAACCCUAUUGACAUUGAACGUGAUGCAUAUUACCUAUAAUAACAGUUACUCAGUUUACAUGCACUUUUAAAUGUGUCAUGAAAUCCCUAUGUGGGAAUUAUGUUAUGCAUGGUUUAUCUAUAGCCCUUAAAAUAACUGAUGUCAAAAUAAAGGGGAUAAGUGAGGGUUACCACAUACAAUUUCAGCUGUUAAAAUAUCUCUCCUUGCCAAUAGAAUAGGCCUAUAACGUCAUCAUUGGGAGGCAGAAGUGGAAACCCCAAGGGUUGGGGAGUAACUGAUUACACAUAACCUACCCAACCCUGGAAACCCCCGAUUUAUUAUGGUAAAGCCAUUGCCUGUUGAGUCACUCGAUUGAAAACAAUAUGUUGGAUUUAGCCUGACCAGCGGCGACCCGUCACGUUUUGAGCUCCACAAAAUGCCUGUUUGCUAAUUAUUUUUGCAUUAAUAUGUGUCACAUAUCAGUUUGCAAACAAUGUAAAAAAAUAAAAAUAAUUGAGUUAAUAAAGCCGCAUACAAACAUGGUCUCUUUUGUUUUCUUGAGUAAGGCAGCUCCAAAAUGCAGGUGUUUCAGCCUAGCUCAUUGCUUUCUGUGGUGGUGGGGCGAGCCAGCAGA